AGUAACAAAUCGACACCCCAAACUAAGAUAAACCAAAACCAAAAAAAAUAAUAUUAUAUGGCUGCAUUAUAGUCGUUAAUACAGAACUCAUUCAAUCAAAAUAAUACCAUCACAAAUUAAAAACAAUACAAUGAGUACCUAGACAAUUAGAAAAUAAUUUUCAAUAAAAUUAAAAUCAUGUAAUAUUUGAUUACUAAAUAAAUAGG